AAUACCAGCACCCCGAGUGGUCGGGACGAUUAUUGGGCCUAAAGCAUCCGUAGCCGGCCCAGUAAGUCCUCCGUUAAAUCCAACGGCUCAACCGUUGGGCUAAACGGGAUACUGCUGGGCUAGGGGACGGGAGAGGCGAGGGGUAUUCCCGGGGUAGGGGUAAAAUCCACUGAUCCCGGGAGGACCACCAGUGGCGAAGGCGCCUCGCUAGAACGUGCCCGACGGUGAGGGAUGAAAGCUGGGGGAGCGAACCGGAUUAGAUACCCGGGUAGUCCCAGCCGUAAACGAUGUAGGCUCGGUGUUGGGCUGCCUCAGUGGCAGCCCAGUGCCGCAGGGAAGCCGUUAAGCCUACCGCCUGGGGAGUACGGCCGCAAGGCUG
rnacentral:rRNA from 1 species